UGGCAUGUAUAGCUUGAGCUACAUCCCUUUCGCAAGGUCUUUGGUUUCAAAUCAUUGCAAGGUGUGCAUGCAAACAUUUAUGUGCACCACUACGAAGGUGAAGUGCAGGGAGCAUGCGGAAGGAAAGCACCCCAAAUCUGAUGUUUAUACUUGCUUCCCGCAUCCCAAAAAAUGAAUGAAUGUGGAGAUGAAUUGAGAGUAUCAUCAUAUGUAAAUCUUUCUAUUAUGACAUGGUUACAUCGUGGUUGCUUUAUGCAUGUUGUGGUACUGUCUGUUUGGGAGAGGGAGAUGGAGAGGGAGAGUGAUGUAUUCUUGCCCUUUGUUCAAGUGGAACUCAGUGUUCAAUUAUAAUGAAUAUUGAUGCCAUUGGU